rnacentral:lncRNA from 1 species
AAAAAUUUAAAUUAUAGUUUGCAGUAUUGUUUCAUAUCUUGAUCAUAUGUUCCUAUUGUAGACUCAAGCAAGAGUCAUCGAUGAUUUCUUUCAUGAAAGCAUGUAAACUUUAAGAACUAUAUAUCGAUUAUGUAGAUAAUUUGACGAUGCAGCAUCAUCAUUUUAUUGGGCAAAGCCAAGCCUAAGGACAAAGGUUACAUAGUGAUACACACAUGACGCUGCUUCUAUAACAUUUAUAUAAAUUGUUAUCGAGAGAGACAAUAGGAUUUUAGCACAAUAUAAUAAACAUUGUAAGGUUCGAUAGAGAAUAGAGAUAUACCUCUAUACUUUAUAUAAUUUCAAUAAAUUUUUUAGUACUUAUUAAUGCAUUUAUCAUGUUUGCAUCUUUUAUCGAGAGAUAAGAGGAUUACAUGAGGGGAAUAGAUUUGAUCGUUAUCGAGAGAGGUUUUCAAUUAAAUUAGAAACAUUGAUCAACAUGAAUGAUUUUAAAUUGUCAAUUUAAUUGUUACACAAAAAAUGAAAUAAUAAGGGGGAUUCUACAUCUUAGUAAUAUUUUUUACGAAUUCGAUAAAUUUUCUUUGCUUUCUAUUUAGUUGAUAAAUUUUAUAUUGUUUAGUCACAAAUUGAUUUUGCUAUUCGAUUAAGGGUAGUGUUAGCUUUAGUUGGAUCAAACACAUAGUUCUCGUGAGUUCGAUACUCUACAUAUCACUUUAUUACUUGUUCACGAUCUCGUCCACUUGCUGAUAAUGAAACGAUCAGAAGGUUUCAUAUUGGUAAAACGUUACGAGUACAAAUGCAUUUCGAAACAUGUAUUAAUUAUGAAAAUUUUAAUUAAAUUCAACUUCCAAGCUCAGCUCUUCAGAUGGAAUGAAAUAAGAAGAGCAUAGUCAUUUCUCUAAAUGACCUUAUUUCCACUGCUUUUGCGGAUACGUAAAAUGGGCAACUGACUAAGCAUAAGUGAUAAAAUUGUGUUUCAUACCAUAUUAGAGAAUCGUGUUUACAAGCUAUCGUAACUAAACUAUCAAACAGCUGCAAAUAGAUAAUUUAUCUAUUAAUAUUUUAUUUUCAACCAAUUUCUUUUUUAUCUUCAAAGUUUUUGCAUGUCAUAUAUUUCAAAAUGAAUAAUCAAGUUACUUAGCCUAAGCCCCUGUUUGAUGGGAAUUAAAACUAAAUUUUUAUAAGAUUUUGUUAAAAGUUAUGAAAUGUUAUUGAAAAUUAGUAAAUUUCAUAAAAUAUGUAAUUAAAAAUUAAUUGUUGACUUUUACUCAAAAUUAAAAUUUUAAUUUUAAUUACUACGCAGACUAAUUUGAAAACAAAAGUACACAGUGACAGCGACUGAGAAAUUGGACCCAUCAAUUCUACUACUCUAACAAGUCAUCCCCUCAGCCCUUGUCACACGGGCCUGUCAAAGGCCCCAGUCUGAGCAGAAUAAUUCCUGGACCCAUUCCUUGCACGACCAAGACUGAAGAAUUGAGCAAAAUUCGAGGCUUAAGAAAUGCCAAGCCUAGUCGUCCUCGAAUAUUUUUAUAUUAAUACAUUAUUGUUUUCUAUAUAUUUAGAAAAUUUUCCAAAAGAAAUAACAAAUGUAACUUUAAUUUCUAAUUGUAAUGUCUUGAGCAUGUUAUACCCUUAAAAGAACUCGUAUUUUGAUGCUCCAUUGUAUAUACGUGUGUUUGAAUUUUUCCUCGAUCAAAAUAGAAUUAUGAAAUCAUUUGAAAGCAUAGAAAAUUUUAGUAUUAUUUAUUUUACUUAGGUCCAACUUAGCAAGUCCACACAUACCUUACUUGUCAAGUUCGAGUCAUGAUCAUUUGAGUUUGGACAAGUUGAGAAUACACUGCUUAAGCUUAAGUGUAUAAAAAUAGCACAACAUUUUCUUUAUAAGUCAAAAUUGAAUCAUUAUCCAGCUCAAUACAACAAGCAAAAUGUAUCCAAACUGUCAAGUUCGAAUCAUCUUCGCCUUUUGAGCUUCAACAAAAUGACACUUAGUGUGUCUCUCAGUUAAAGGCUUAUUUUGGUUCAUCUGGAGGGUGAGGAUCAUCUUCAUCAUAUUUACUAAUGGCAUAUUCUUGUUCACAGUUAAUUAUGGAGAACUUCGUAUAGUGCUCGUACUGCCUUUUUGUUGCUCUGAAUACACGAAUCAUUUGGGGUGAGGGAAAUAUAAUUCUAAUGACAAUGAAAAUGUUAUAGUACACGUUUGGAAAAUAUAUCGGGAUUUAACUAUUUCAUUGGUUUUUGACCUGUCAUUCGUAGUCAAGUUUAUGCCAAAAGGCUCUAAUGCACGGAGAUUUAUGAGAUGGUUUGCGUUUGUUCAUCUCGACAAUGCAACCAAUACUUUGAGAAUUUAGGUUAAAAGGUCUUACUUUCUAGCUUGUAAAUAAAAUCUUAAGCUGUUAGAGAGGUGAUAUAUUCGUUUCUUUUAAUUUUGACUUCAUCAAUUCUUUAUGUUACAAUGUAAAUGUGUGCUCCUACAGUUUGUUCAACCUGGUAGAUUACUUCCAUAGUCGAGGCUUGUACCACUCAAUAUUUGUAAGGUAACAUUCUUUGCUGACUUUUUUCAAGUAUCAAUAUAUGUGCAUUAUCAUUUCGCUGCUUUUUAAACAAUCUCCUCCGUCAUAGCAUUGAUGGUUUGUACUAUCCGUGCAGAAUAACGGAGGGGGAAGAAUCUUUAAGGCACUAUUCUCCUAAAGUACUGGUAAAUGGGACCGAAUAAUAGAAACGCAGCUUCUCUCCCUCCUCCCAUUAUACUUUUCCAUGGAACUGUAGAUUAUUCCAUCCCUUCUGAUGCCAGGUUUGAAUCUCCUUGAACUAACAAGUGAUUUACUUUCUUUCAAAUCAUUAACUGUUUGCCCACGUUAUGUGAAGCACGUAAUAGAUAAAGUACUCAAACUUAAUUGACACUCGACACUGAUAAGUAUAUAAAAUCUGUCUCUAGUUUUAACGCCAUAUAUGUAUGGCAUAUUUGGUAAAGUAGAUUGUAAAGCACGGCAGUAAAAGAAAGAAAAAGAAACAAAAAUCAUGAUUCAUACUUUCUGCUGUUGUCAAGUUCUUCAUUGGAAACAUGCCUGUAAAGAAUUUUAUCAGUGACAUUCACAAGUUCGUUUCAUACAACAUGCAAUUCACCUUUCGUGACUAUUGUCAAUUUCUUUCAAACAUGCUUGGGAGUGCUAUAUAAAAUGUUUAUAAGUUGUGGGCCUUAUAAAAUGUGUGGAUAAAAAAUAUUUUUGACAAACUCAUUUAUUAUUUAAGUUUUGUCAAACAUGCACUUUAAUCCAUCUAACAUAGUCUUCUCUCCAUCUUUUCCAUCUUAUUGUGACUUGGUAAUGUAGUUAGAAGAAACCCAGAAUUGACAUGACCAUUUCUUCACACAUUUCAUGUCAAGACGACAGGACCUCUGGGACGAUGCAUUUCUGAAAUCACGUUACACUAUUUGUGUAGAAAAUAACUUUUUAACCAAGUCCCGUUUGUUUCCCAUUAUUAGCUCAUUAAAAUAGAAAAUAUAAUCGUUAUCCAUCACAUCAAGCCACAAUAUUUAACUUUCUAUAUCUUGUGUGGAGCCUGUAACGGUUAUAUUUUUCAUUCUUAUUUUUACAUUAAUGUGUACCAAAUGGGACCUUGGGUUAGGAAGCCACUUUUGGCAUAAUUUUGAGUGGUACCUAUUCGAUCAAUUUGGAAGAUCAAAGUUGAUUCAUAUUCUCCUCCAUGACGAUAUCGAAAUCAUAUAUUUACUUUUCAAAAAUGAUGCUCGAGUGAAUAGUAAUUGUUAUAUUCUGCUAUAGUACUUGUCCUGUUCUUCAUUUAUAUAAAUUUGCAAAUUAUUUUGGUCAACCCGUUUUGGUUCCAAGAAAAAUUUUGCUGAGACUCUUCGAAGAGCCGGAGUUCAAGCUGAAUUGAUUUUAUAUGAAGGAAAAACCACACAAAUGGGUUCCCUUCAGGUACCAUGUUGUUCCAUAUGCUUUUGUUCUUCCAUUUCUUUACUAUUCACAAGUUUUGGAAGAAAUUCAUGAGUUAUCUAACAACUUAAGCUUUUAAAAGAAGUUGUUCAACGUUGUAUCUGACCAAGUAAAUGUUAGACCUCCUACUUAUGACACACUAUGUCUCUGGUAUUUGGUGGAAAAAUAAAUUGAUUAUAUACCGAGGGGUGUGUGUGGAUGAAAGCAAAGUUUAAAUAAAAUAAAUUUGUCCAUUUCUUGGUCUUAAACUAUUAGAUGAGCAUUUGUUAGUUACGCUGUGAAUGAAAACAGUAUCUAUAUUCAUAUAUGGAUCUUAUUCAUUAACCUAAAAAAUAGAUCCAAAAAAGCCAUUAAUGUAUAUUCUUGUUUAGUUAUUUAUUCGCAUAAUAUUUAGGAUCCAAUGAGAGGUGGCAGAGAUGAAAUGUUUGAAGAUUUGGUAACCAUGAUUCAUGCUGAAGACACUGAAGCUCUCUCGAAAGACUCAUUGGGGCCUCCUAGAAAAUGCCUCGUGCCUGAAUUCAUGUUGAAAAUGGCUUGCACUUUCAGCCCCUUCGAAUUACUAUCCAUUCAUUUGUCCUUGCCAGAAUGAAUUCAAAGAAUUACUGGUUUUCUUAACCUAUAUUUUUGUUGCGUUUUUUGAUACCCAAUAAAUCUCAAGCUAUAAUGCUAACGUGGGUUAAUGUAUUUCAUAGAUAUAGGCCGAUGAAUGAAAUAAGUCCAAUAAUCAAGUACAUAAGCUCUACCCGAUCCAAUUGUAUUUCCUUUUGGGUGGCUUGAAUCUUGGCUAGUUUACCUUUUUUAAUGGUCCAAUUAAAAAGCCUAACCCUAGCAUACUUAUAAGGAAUAAACCCUAGCCAAUUUCUAGUAUGAUUUGUAUGUAAAAAAGUGGAGAACUCGGCUGCAAGAAGAGAGAAAAACGGCUGGUCCUUUGUGUGUCAAAAACCUGUGAUUAAACUUUGUGUUUUGGUGGUUCCUUCUUGCCUUCCUUUGUGGUGUUGUUCUCCUUGCUUUUGUGGUUGAAAAUCAUCACUGUUUCUUUUCUUUCAUGGAUAAGAUUGAAUAGCAACCGAGGUGAAUUAUAUUAGUUGUGAUUGGAACCGGUUGGUUUGGUUGUUGGUAGAAAAAGGUACGCUAGACUAAGUCCGAAAAGCAUCGAUUUGAAGAUCUUUGAAGAGAGCUUCCGCAACAAUUUUUACAGUGUGUUCUUUUCCUUUUAAGAUUUGAAUUGCUUUUGAGGUAAUAGAUUAUCAACUCCUUUGGUAACACAGAAUCAAGAUUGGGGGAAAAAAAUUUAAAUUAUAGUUUGCAGUAUUGUUUCAUAUCUUGAUCAUAUGUUCCUAUUGUAGACUCAAGCAAGAGUCAUCGAUGAUUUCUUUCAUGAAAGCAUGUAAACUUUAAGAACUAUAUAUCGAUUAUGUAGAUAAUUUGACGAUGCAGCAUCAUCAUUUUAUUGGGCAAAGCCAAGCCUAAGGACAAAGGUUACAUAGUGAUACACACAUGACGCUGCUUCUAUAACAUUUAUAUAAUUAAGAUAGCCACAAAAUAGCUGCUUAACAAACUGCACACAUAUAACUUAAAUUUACUCUUCCUUAGCCUUACUUUUUCCCAG